rnacentral:rRNA from 1 species
GCCCGGGGCCGGCGGGCCUACACAUGCAAGUCGAGCGGCAGCGGAAGUAGCUUGCUACUUUGCCGGCGAGCGGCGGACGGGUGAGUAAUGUCUGGGAAACUGCCUGAUGGAGGGGGAUAACUACUGGAAACGGUAGCUAAUACCGCAUAACGUCGCAAGACCAAAGAGGGGGACCUUCGGGCCUCUUGCCAUCAGAUGUGCCCAGAUGGGAUUAGCUAGUAGGUGGGGUAACGGCUCACCUAGGCGACGAUCCCUAGCUGGUCUGAGAGGAUGACCAGCCACACUGGAACUGAGACACGGUCCACACUCCUACGGGAGGCAGCAGUGGGGAAUAUUGCACAAUGGGCGCAAGCCUGAUGCACCCAUGCCGCGUGUAUGAAGAAGGCCUUCGGGUUGUAAAGUACUUUCAGCGGGGAGGAAGGUGGUGAGGUUAAUAACCUCAUCAAUUGACGUUACCCGCAGAAGAAGCACCGGCUAACUCCGUGCCAGCAGCCGCGGUAAUACGGAGGGUGCAAGCGUUAAUCGGAAUUACUGGGCGUAAAGCGCACGCAGGCGGUCUGUCAAGUCAGAUGUGAAAUCCCCGGGCUCAACCUGGGAACUGCAUUCGAAACUGGCAGGCUAGAGUCUUGUAGAGGGGGGUAGAAUUCCAGGUGUAGCGGUGAAAUGCGUAGAGAUCUGGAAGAAUACCGGUGGCGAAGGCGGCCCCCUGGACAAAGACUGACGCUCAUGUGCGAAAGCGUGGGGAGCAAACAGGAUUAGAUACCCUGGUAGUCCACGCCGUAAACGAUGUCGACUUGGAGGUUGUGCCCUUGACGCGUGGCUUCCGGAGCUAACGCGUUAAGUCGACCGCCUGGAGAGUACGGCCGCAAGGUUAAAACUCAUAUGAAUUGACGGGGGCCCGCACAAGCGGUGGAGCAUGUGGUUUAAUUCUAUGCAACGCGAAGAACCUUACCUACUCUUGACAUCCAGAGAUCUAGCAGAGAUGCUUUGUGCCUUCGAGAUCUCUGACACAGUGCUGCAUGGCUGUCGUCAGCUCGUGUGUGAAAUGUGGGUUAAGUCCCGCACGAGCGCAACCCUUAUCCUUUGUGCCAGCGUUACGGCCGGAAUCUCAAGGAACCUGCCAGUGAUAACCUG